GGGCCCGUCGUCUAGCCUGGUUAGGACGCCGCCCUGACACGGCGGAGGCCCGGGGUUCAAAUCCCCGCGGGCCCACCA
rnacentral:tRNA from 1 species